CAAUGGGCGCAGCCUGAUGCAGCGACGCCGCGUGCGGGAUGACGGCCUUCUUCCNACUNUAAACCGGGAGGANAANCGGGAGCAAGCCUUCGGGUGAGUGUUCCUUUCGAAUAAGCACCGGCUAACUACGUGCCAGCAGCCGCGGUAAUACGUAGGGUGCAAGCGUUAUCCGGAAUUAUUGGGCGUAAAGGGCUCGUAGGCGGUUCGUCGCGUCCGGUGUGAAAGUCCAUCGCUUAACGGUGGAUCUGCGCCGGGUACGGGCGGGCUGGAGUGCGGUAGGGGAGACUGGAAUUCCCGGUGUAACGGUGGAAUGUGUAGAUAUCGGGAAGAACACCAAUGGCGAAGGCAGGUCUCUGGGCCGUUACUGACGCUGAGGAGCGAAAGCGUGGGGAGCGAACAGGAUUAGAUACCCUGGUAGUCCAAGGGCGAAUUC
rnacentral:rRNA from 1 species